UUAACACAUGCAAGUCGAGCGGGCGAGGUUGCUUCGGUAACUGAGCUAGCGGCGGACGGGUGAGUAAUGCUUAGGAAUCUGCCUAUUAGUGGGGGACAACAUUCCGAAAGGAAUGCUAAUACCGCAUACGCCCUACGGGGGAAAGCAGGGGAUCUUCGGACCUUGCGCUAAUAGAUGAGCCUAAGUCAGAUUAGCUAGUUGGUGGGGUAAAGGCCUACCAAGGCGACGAUCUGUAGCGGGUCUGAGAGGAUGAUCCGCCACACUGGGACUGAGACACGGCCCAGACUCCUACGGGAGGCAGCAGUGGGGAAUAUUGGACAAUGGGCGCAAGCCUGAUCCAGCCAUGCCGCGUGUGUGAAGAAGGCCUUUUGGUUGUAAAGCACUUUAAGCGAGGAGGAGGCUACUUGGAUUAAUACUCUAGGAUAGUGGACGUUACUCGCAGAAUAAGCACCGGCUAACUCUGUGCCAGCAGCCGCGGUAAUACAGAGGGUGCGAGCGUUAAUCGGAUUUACUGGGCGUAAAGCGUGCGUAGGCGGCUUCUUAAGUCGGAUGUGAAAUCCCUGAGCUUAACUUAGGAAUUGCAUUCGAUACUGGGAAGCUAGAGUAUGGGAGAGGAUGGUAGAAUUCCAGGUGUAGCGG
rnacentral:rRNA from 1 species